rnacentral:misc_RNA from 1 species
AACCAUUCUCACCUGCGGCUAGACCUGCGGAGGGAUCAUUACAGAGUUCGUGCCCUCGCGGGUAGAUCUCCCACCCUUGUGUAUUCUCUACAUCUUGUUGCUUUGGCAGGCCGUUGGUUCGCCAACCACCGGCUCGCGGGCUGGUGCGUGCCUGCCAGAGGACCUCUCAAACUCGGUUUGUCAGUGUCGUCUGAGUACCAUAACAAUCGUUAAAACUUUUAACAACGGAUCUCAGAUCGG